rnacentral:rRNA from 1 species
GAGUGGUUGAAAGCCGGUCGGGAGGGGGUGAGGAAGAAGCGAAAUCCUGGAUGAGUGGAUCUGCUUUACCCAGUAAAAGUGUGAAGUCUAAUAAGUCGUACUAACGUAGGUCGUCAGGGGAAGUCCCGAUACUGAGAAGCUUGGGGCAUAAAAGGGGAUUAGAUACCCCCUUAUACCCAGGUAUAAUAACAUGAGAUCUCUGAGUAGUAAACAGAUAUGCCCUCGAAACUCAAAGGAUUUGGCGGUACCCGAGCCCAGUUAGAGGAAUUUGUGCAGUAAACGAUAAACCCCGAGAAUCUAGCCCCACCUUGUAAUCGCUCAGUUUGUAUACCGCCAUUAUCAGGUAAUUCUGAUGGGAACUUACCAAAAGAAAGCUAUUUAGAAUAUUAGGUCAAGGUGCAGCCAAUGGUGGGGCUGUCAUGAGUUACAAUAUGAUAAGUUUAUUACGGACGGGGGGCUGAAAAUCUCCUCUGAAGGUGGAUUUAAUAGUAAGUCGGAUAGAUUAUGUCCGGUUGAUAAAGGCCCUCGGAUAUGUACACAUCGCCCGUCGUUCUCACUCU